rnacentral:rRNA from 1 species
GAUGAACGCUGGCGGCGUGCCUAAUACAUGCAAGUCGAGCGAAUGGAUUAAGAGCUUGCUCUUAUGAAGUUAGCGGCGGACGGGUGAGUAACACGUGGGUAACCUGCCCAUAAGACUGGGAUAACUCCGGGAAACCGGGGCUAAUACCGGAUAACAUUUUGAACCGCAUGGUUCGAAAUUGAAAGGCGGCAUCGGCUGUCAAUUAUGGAUGGACCAGCGUCGCAUUAGCUAGUUGGUGAGGUAACGGCUCACCAAGGCAACGAUGCGUAGCCGACCUGAGAGGGUGAUCGGCCACACUGGGACUGAGACACGGCCCAGACUCCUACGGGAGGCAGCAGUAGGGAAUCUUCCGCAAUGGACGAAAGUCUGACGGAGCAACGCCGCGUGAGUGAUGAAGGCUUUCGGGUCGUAAAACUCUGUUGUUAGGGAAGAACAAGUGCUAGUUGAAUAAGCUGACACCUUGACGGUACCUAACCAGAAAGCCACGGCUAACUACGUGCCAGCCGCCGCCGUAA